rnacentral:rRNA from 1 species
GAUGAACGCUGGCGGCGUGCCUAAUACAUGCAAGUCGAGCGAACAGACGAGGAGCUUGCUCCUCUGACGUUAGCGGCGGACGGGUGAGUAACACGUGGAUAACCUACCUAUACGACUGGGAUAACUUCGGGAAACCGGAGCUAAUACCGGAUAAUAUAUUCAACCGCAUGGUCCAAUAGUGAAAGACGGUUUUGCUGUCACUUAUAGAUGGAUCCGCGCCGCAUUCGCUAGUUGGUAAGGUAACGGCUUACCAAGGCGACGAUGCGUAGCCGACCUGAGAGGGUGAUCGGCCACACUGGAACUGAGACACGGCCCAGACUCCUACGGGAGGCAGCAGUAGGGAAUCGUCCGCAAUGGGCGAAAGCCUGACGGAGCAACGCCGCGUGAGUGAUGAAGGUCUUCGGAUCGUAAAACUCUGUUAUUAGGGAAGAACAAAUGUGUAAGUAACUAUGCACGUCUUGACGGUACCUUAUCAGAAAGCCACGGCUAACUACGUG